rnacentral:rRNA from 1 species
CGUAUGGAUUAAAGCUUUAUGCGCUUUGGAGGGGCCUGCGUAACAUUAGCUAGUUGGUGAGGUAAAAGCUCACCAAGGCUUCGAUGUUUAACUGGUUUGAGAGGAUGACCAGUCACACUGGGACUGAGAUACGGCCCAGACUCCUACGGGAGGCAGCAGUAAGGAAUCCUCCACAAUGGGGCAACCCUGAUGGAGCAAUACCGCGUGCAGGAUGAAGCGUUUCGGCGUGUAAACUGCUUUUAUCACCGAAGAUUAUGACUGUAGGUGAAGAAUAAGGACCGGCUAACUACGUG